CGAAGGAUGCAAGCGUUAUCCGGAUUCAUUGGGUUUAAAGGGAGCGUAGGUGGCCUUAUAAGUCAGUGGUGAAAUCUCUGGGCUUAACCCAGAAAUUGCCAUUGAUACUGCAGGGCUUGAGUAUAGAUGCCGUUGGCGGAAUAUGACAUGUAGUGGUGAAAUACAUAGAGAUGUCAUAGAACACCGAUUGCGAAGGCAGCUAACGAAACUAUAACUGACACUGAGGCUCGAAAGUGUGGGGAUCAAACAGGAUUAGAUACCCUGGUAGUCCACACUGUAAACGAUGAUUACUCGCUGCUAGAGGGUAACUUUUAGUGGCUUAGCGAAAGCGAUAAGUAAUCCACCUGGGGAGUACGCCGGCAACGGUG
rnacentral:rRNA from 1 species